UCCGCUAUGGUGUAGUGGCUAACGAUAUCGCCUCUCAUAUACUGUUUCGCGGGGCUUGUGCAGGAGUGCGAUAGCUGAGGGUUCGAUUCUCUGUAACGGAA